rnacentral:rRNA from 1 species
CUCUAACUCUGGCGGCAGGCCUAACACAUGCAAGUCGAACGAACCUUUCGGGGUUAGUGGCGGACGGGUGCGUAACACGUGGGAACGUGCCUUUAGGUUCGGCAUAACUCAGGGAAACUUGUGCUAAUACCGCAUGUGCCCUUCGGGGGAAAGAUUUAUCGCCUUUAGAGCGGCCCGCGUCUGAUUAGCUAGUUGGGUGAGGUAAUGGCUCACCAAGGCGACGAUCAGUAGCUGGUCUGAGAGGAUGAUCAGCCACAUUGGGACUGAGACACGGCCCAAACUCCUACGGGAGGUAGCAGUGGGGAAUCUUGCGCAAUGGGCGAAAGCCUGACGCAGCCAUGCCGCGUGAAUGAUGAAGGUCUUAGGAUUGUAAAAUUCUUUCACCGGGGACGAUAAUGACGGUACCCGGAGAAGAAGCCCCGGCUAACUUCGUG